UACGAAGGGGGCUAGCGUUGCUCGGAAUCACUGGGCGUAAAGGGCGCGUAGGCGGCCGAUCAAGUCAGGGGUGAAAGCCUGUGGCUCAACCACAGAAUUGCCUUUGAUACUGUUUGGCUCGAGACCGGAAGAGGUUGGUGGAACUGCGAGUGUAGAGGUGAAAUUCGUAGAUAUUCGCAAGAACACCAGUGGCGAAGGCGGCCAACUGGUCCGGUUCUGACGCUGAGGCGCGAAAGCUAGGGUAGCGAACAGG
rnacentral:rRNA from 1 species